CCACAUUCAAUCUAUUACAGAUUCCCCCGUGUCUCUUUCCACAUAUCUGGCACUCCGGCAGUGGAGGCCUUGGUUGAUUUCCAAUAGCUGGACGGUUACCUUGUCCACUACCACCUACAUCUGGCUUCUUAAAAGUGGGAUUUCUCCCCUGCUGAAAUUUCCCUUUCUUCGGGUUGUUAAAGUUCUGAAACCUUCCCUGCUGAAACUGUCCCUCGUGAUGCUCUGGCUUACGCUUCUUUCCCUCUUUCUCUUUCUGAGACAUUUCGCUUUCCGUUUCCGCUAUCAUUGCCUUCUGAACUACAGCUGCAUAAGUAUCUAAU
rnacentral:lncRNA from 1 species